rnacentral:rRNA from 1 species
CUAUACAUGCAAGUCGAACGAGUUCUGAUUAUUGAAAGGUGCUUGCAUCUUGAUUUAAUUUUGAACGAGUGGCGGACGGGUGAGUAACACGUGGGUAACCUGCCCUUAAGUGGGGGAUAACAUUUGGAAACAGAUGCUAAUACCGCAUAAAUCCAAGAACCGCAUGGUUCUUGGCUGAAAGAUGGCGUAAGCUAUCGCUUUUGGAUGGACCCGCGGCGUAUUAGCUAGUUGGUGAGGUAACGGCUCACCAAGGCAAUGAUACGUAGCCGAACUGAGAGGUUGAUCGGCCACAUUGGGACUGAGACACGGCCCAAACUCCUACGGGAGGCAGCAGUAGGGAAUCUUCCACAAUGGACGCAAGUCUGAUGGAGCAACGCCGCGUGAGUGAAGAAGGCUUUCGGGUCGUAAAACUCUGUUGUUGGAGAAGAAUGGUCGGCAGAGUAACUGUUGUCGGCGUGACGGUAUCCAACCAGAAAGCCACGGCUAACUACGUGCCAGCAGCCGCGGUAAUACGUAGGUGGCAAGCGUUAUCCGGAUUUAUUGGGCGUAAAGCGAGCGCAGGCGGUUUUUUAAGUCUGAUGUGAAAGCCCUCGGCUUAACCGAGGAAGUGCAUCGGAAACUGGGAAACUUGAGUGCAGAAGAGGACAGUGGAACUCCAUGUGUAGCGGUGAAAUGCGUAGAUAUAUGGAAGAACACCAGUGGCGAAGGCGGCUGUCUGGUCUGUAACUGACGCUGAGGCUCGAAAGCAUGGGUAGCGAACAGGAUUAGAUACCCUGGUAGUCCAUGCCGUAAACGAUGAAUGCUAGGUGUUGGAGGGUUUCCGCCCUUCAGUGCCGCAGCUAACGCAUUAAGCAUUCCGCCUGGGGAGUACGACCGCAAGGUUGAAACUCAAAGGAAUUGACGGGGGCCCGCACAAGCGGUGGAGCAUGUGGUUUAAUUCGAAGCAACGCGAAGAACCUUACCAGGUCUUGACAUCUUUUGAUCACCUGAGAGAUCAGGUUUCCCCUUCGGGGGCAAAAUGACAGGUGGUGCAUGGUUGUCGUCAGCUCGUGUCGUGAGAUGUUGGGUUAAGUCCCGCAACGAGCGCAACCCUUAUGCCUAGUUGCCAGCAUUUAGUUGGGCACUCUAGUAAGACUGCCGGUGACAAACCGGAGGAAGGUGGGGAUGACGUCAAAUCAUCAUGCCCCUUAUGACCUGGGCUACACACGUGCUACAAUGGAUGGUACAACGAGUUGCGAGACCGCGAGGUCAAGCUAAUCUCUUAAAGCCAUUCUCAGUUCGGACUGUAGGCUGCAACUCGCCUACACGAAGUCGGAAUCGCUAGUAAUCGCGGAUCAGCACGCCGCGGUGAAUACGUUCCCGGGCCUUGUACACACCGCCCGUCACACCAUGAGAGUUUGUAACACCCGAAGCCGGUGGCGUAACCCUUUUAGGGAGCGAGCCGUC